rnacentral:lncRNA from 1 species
UAUAGUUGAUUCUAAGUAUGCACCAGUUCUGUUGCUAUACACAAAUAGAAAUGACCCAUCGGUAUAAUUAAUCGCGUGACUAAUAUGCCGCAAUCUCAUGGGGAAGAAAACCAAUAUUUUUUUUUUCAAUUGUCAACACUCAAUAUAUACAUUACAAUGUUUUGUAGGAGAAAAAACUUCUCUUGGAUCUCUCUACUUGAGCUAUAAAUGACUAAAUUUCAGGCUAAAUGACAACCCAAACCGAUCUGAAAAAUAAGGACAGCUUUUAGCACAAAGAAGAUUAAAUAAAAUAGUUAUAUUUCUAGACCAGCAUAAAAAUGCAAAAUUGGUAUCCAUUUCCUACUUAAUGUAUCCCAACAAAACUCUUUGACAAUCAAACCCCAAUAGGCAACAGGAACCUAAGAAUAUUUAUUCAAAAUCUAUUCAAAUUCUUAACAAUACUGCUGUAAAUUCACAACUGCAACCAAGUUCCCCAGACUUGUGAAAAUUCUGCCCCAAGAGCAAUAAAAACUGCAUCUGGUCAAUCAUAUAGGUGCAGGAUGGCAGCAGCUAGUGUAGGGCAGUACAUGGCAUCUCAUAUGAUACUGGACAGUGGACAGUACAGGGUGAAAUUUUUUAUUAUUAUACAGAACUUUUAAAAAAUUUGAUUAUGUCAUACUCUUUUAACAUUUUGGAUAUUAUUUCAUGCACUUAAGUGAAUUUUUUAUUUUAUUUUUUAAAGUGUAUUAUAGGUGCAGCAGGAAUUUAUGCCACAUACUUCAUUCACGUACAAACAAAAAAAAGCAACUAGAUUUAGUAGAAGAUACAAUGAUGUAUCAUACCAACAAAAUUUUUGGCACAUUCAAUAAUAAUCAAUGAAGGUUUAUAAAAAACUCACUCUGCAGGAUACUGAAAAAGGUUGAUAAAAAAUAAUGAAGGUUUAUAAAUAAAACUUACUCUGCAGGAUACUGAAAAAGGUCGAUAAAAAACAAUGAAGGUUUAUAAAAAAUAAAAAACACUUACUCUGCAGGAUACUGGAAAAGGUUGAUAAAAAACAGCUUGACGUUGUCUAGUAAUUCAGGAGCAGCAUCAGCCACAAUUCUUGAAACUUUAUAACUUAUCUGUAAAUAAAAAUUGAGGCCAGGGAAGAGAUUAGAAGUGGUGGCAUGCUUGGAAGAAACAUAAUGAACACAAAAUAGAGAACAUUACACUGAUCAAGU